AGAUAGAAAAUAGGUGCCCGUACCGCAAACCGACACAGGUAGUCAAGAUGAGAAUUCUAAGGUGAGCGAGCGAACUCUCGUUAAGGAACUCGGCAAAAUGACCCCGUAACUUCGGGAGAAGGGGUGCUCUUUAGGGUUAACGCCCAGAAGAGCCGCAGUGAAUAGGCCCAAGCGACUGUUUAUCAAAAACACAGGUCUCUGCUAAACCGUAAGGUGAUGUAUAGGGGCUGACGCCUGCCCGGUGCUGGAAGGUUAAGAGGAGUGGUUAGCUUCUGCGAAGCUACGAAUCGAAGCCCCAGUAAACGGCGGCCGUAACUAUAACGGUCCUAAGGUAGCGAAAUUCCUUGUCGGGUAAGUUCCGACCCGCACGAAAGGCGUAACGAUUUGGGCACUGUCUCAACGAGAGACUCGGUGAAAUCAUAGUACCUGUGAAGAUGCAGGUUACCCGCGACAGGACGGAAAGACCCCGUGGAGCUUUACUGUAGCCUGAUAUUGAAAUUCGGCACAGCUUGUACAGGAUAGGUAGGAGCCUUUGAAACGUGAGCGCUAGCUUACGUGGAGGCGCUGGUGGGAUACUACCCUA
rnacentral:rRNA from 1 species